GAUGAACGCUGGCGGCGUGCCUAAUACAUGCAAGUCGAGCGAACGGACGAGAAGCUUGCUUUUCUGAUGUUAGCGGCGGACGGGUGAGUAACACGUGGAUAACCUACCUAUAAGACUGGGAUAACUUCGGGAAACCGGAGCUAAUACCGGAUAAUAUUUUGAACCGCAUGGUUCAAAAGUGAAAGACGGUCUUGCUGUCACUUAUAGAUGGAUCCGCGCUGCAUUAGCUAGUUGGUAAGGUAACGGCUUACCAAGGCAACGAUGCAUAGCCGACCUGAGAGGGUGAUCGGCCACACUGGAACUGAGACACGGUCCAGACUCCUACGGGAGGCCGCAGUCGGGCAUCUUCCGCAAUGGGCGAAAGCCUGACGGCGCAACGCCGCGUGAGUGCUGAAGGUCUUCGGAUCGUAAAACUCUGUUAUUAGGGAAGAACAUAUGUGUAAGUAACUGUGCACAUCUUGACGGUACCUAAUCAGAAAGCCACGGCUAACUACGUG
rnacentral:rRNA from 1 species